GGGGGGCUGGCGCAACGGUAGCGCGUCAGAUUCCAGCGGUUUGUAGGUGACAGUAGCCUGCCUGCGUCGGAGUUUCCUGAAGGUUAUCGGUUCAAAUCCGGUGUCCCUCA